rfam:Charadrius vociferus contig57342, whole genome shotgun sequence.
ACAAAGGUUUUCUUUAAAACCAUUGAAGAAUUGUUUUGGAUUUAUA